rnacentral:rRNA from 1 species
UACGGAGGGUGCAAGCGUUGCUCGGAAUCAUUGGGCGUAAGCGUACGCAGGCUGUUCGUUAAGUCGGGUGUGAAAGCCCGGGCUCAACCCGGAACUGCGCCCGAAACUGGCGAGCUUGAGUGCGGGAGAGGGAAGCGGAAUUCCUGGUGUAGAGGUGAAAUUCGUAGAUAUCAGGAGGAACACCGGUGGCGAAAGCGGCUUCCUGGCCCGACACUGACGCUCAUGUACGAAAGCGUGGGGAGCAAACAGG